rnacentral:rRNA from 1 species
AUGAAGGUUGAUUUAGUAUCCAGAUUCCCCAUAAGUUAUGUCAUAAAGAAAAGCUUCCUAGUUGACAAUGCACAAAUGCUGCCCUCUACAAAGUCAACUCCAAGCAAAGAACUGGAGAACAGUCCAUGGUCAUCAAAGAGCAUCCAGAGUCCAGGGAGCCUAACACAAGUCCACUUGGGCAAUACUAUGCCUCCCCCUUGCCAAUCUGCAACUAUGGACACCGACAAAAACAUAAAUAGGUACUCUUCAGCGAAAAGAAGCAUCCAAUUUACAGAAGAUGGAGCCACCAACAAAGAGGGUACAUCUACCUGUUUACAUGCCAGUCAACAAACAGAGUACGCAUUGAUAACAAUAUUUCCUGUUUACAUGCCAGUCAACAACAGGAAUAUCUUCAGGAUACACAAGUGCAUCUCCAGGUUGUCAAAAAGCAUAAGCAAGAGGCACCAUCAACAACCAUGCAAGGACCAGGGCAUCUUCAAGACGCACGAAAAGCACCUACAGAUUGCACCACCUUCCAUUGAAAAUUACCUCCAAAACUAUCAUUACAACUACUUCAUGAUCAGCCUAAGUAUGUCGUCAGAUAUCGACUAA